rnacentral:rRNA from 1 species
GACGAACGCUGGCGGCGUGGAUUAGGCAUGCAAGUCGAACGGUAUCAUCCUUUCGGGGGUGAGAGAGUGGCGAACUGGUGAGUAACACGUAGGUUAUCUACCCUCAAGACGGGGACAACCCAGGGAAACUUGGGCUAAUACCGGAUGUGAGCAACUUUUUAGUUGUUUGAAAGGUGGCGUAAGCUGUCGCUUGGGGAUGAGCCUGCGUCCUAUUAGUUAGUUGGUGAGGUAACGGCUCACCUAGGCAAUGAUAGGUAGGCGGCCUUAACGGGUGGUUGCCCACACUGGGAUUGAGAUACGGCCCAGACUCCUACGGGAGGCAGCAGUCGAGAAUAGUCUACAAUGGUCGGAAGACUGAUAGUGCGACGCCGCGUGAACGAUGAAUCCCUUCGGGGUGUAAAGUUCUUUUAUAUGUGAGCAGUGCUUCUUAUAUUAACAGUAUGGGGAGAGAGAUAUUAGCAUAUGAAUAAGCAACGGCUAACUCCGUGCCAGCAGCCGCGGUAAGCUU